GCUGGGAUAGCUCAGAUGGUAUAGCACAAGACUCAAUCUCAGGAUUGUGGGUUCAAACCCCACAUUAAGCA